AGAGUUUGAUCAUGGCUCAGAUUGAACGCUGGCGGCAGGCCUAACACAUGCAAGUCGAACGGUAACAGGAAGAAGCUUGCUUCUUUGCUGACGAGUGGCGGACGGGUGAGUAAUGUCUGGGAAACUGCCUGAUGGAGGGGGAUAACUACUGGAAACGGUAGCUAAUACCGCAUAACGUCGCAAGACCAAAGAGGGGGACCUUCGGGCCUCUUGCCAUCGGAUGUGCCCAGAUGGGAUUAGCUAGUAGGUGGGGUAACGGCUCACCUAGGCGACGAUCCCUAGCUGGUCUGAGAGGAUGACCAGCCACACUGGAACUGAGACACGGUCCAGACUCCUACGGGAGGCAGCAGUGGGGAAUAUUGCACAAUGGGCGCAAGCCUGAUGCAGCCAUGCCGCGUGUAUGAAGAAGGCCUUCGGGUUGUAAAGUACUUUCAGCGGGGAGGAAGGGAGUAAAGUUAAUACCUUUGCUCAUU
rnacentral:rRNA from 1 species